GAGCGAACGGACGAGAAGCUUGCUUCUCUGAUGUUAGCGGCGGACGGGUGAGUAACACGUGGAUAACCUACCUAUAAGACUGGGAUAACUUCGGGAAACCGGAGCUAAUACCGGAUAAUAUUUUGAACCGCAUGGUUCAAAAGUGAAAGACGGUCUUGCUGUCACUUAUAGAUGGAUCCGCGCUGCAUUAGCUAGUUGGUAAGGUAACGGCUUACCAAGGCAGCGAUGCAUAGCCGACCUGAGAGGGUGAUCGGCCACACUGGAACUGAGACACGGUCCAGACUCCUACGGGAGGCAGCAGUAGGGAAUCUUCCGCAAUGGGCGAAAGCCUGACGGAGCAACGCCGCGUGAGUGAUGAAGGUCUUCGGAUCGUAAAACUCUGUUAUUAGGGAAGAACAUAUGUGUAAGUAACUGUGCACAUCUUGACGGUACCUAAUCAGAAAGCCACGGCUAACUACGUGCCAGCAGCCGCGGUAAUACGUAGGUGGCAAGCGUUAUCCGGAAUUAUUGGGCGUAAAGCGCGCGUAGGCGGUUUUUUAAGUCUGAUGUGAAAGCCCACGGCUCAACCGUGGAGGGUCAUUGGAAACUGGAAAACUUGAGUGCAGAAGAGGAAAGUGGAAUUCCAUGUGUAGCGGUGAAAUGCGCAGAGAUAUGGAGGAACACCAGUGGCGAAGGCGACUUUCUGGUCUGUAACUGACGCUGAUGUGCGAAAGCGUGGGGAUCAAACAGGAUU
rnacentral:rRNA from 1 species